GACGAACGCUGGCGGCGUGCUUAACACAUGCAAGUCGAACGGAAAGGCCCUGCUCUUGCGGGGUGCUCGUGUGGCGAACGGGUGAGUAAAACGCGAGUAUCCUGCACUUAUAUUUGGGAUAACUUCAGGAAACUGGGGCUAAAAUCCGAUAGGAGCUACUGAUGCACGGGGGGGGUUGGAAAGUUUCGGCGGUUGGGGCUGGACUCGAGGCUUAUCCGCUUGUUGGUGGGGUAGUGGAGUACCAAGGUUUUGAAGGGUAGGCGGCCUGAGAGCGUGACCGGGCACAUGGGGACUGAGGUACGGCGCAGACGGCUACGGGAGGCAGCAGUGGGGAAUCUUGCGCAAUGGGCGGAAGCGUGAGGCAGAAACGCCGCGUGCGGGAUAACGGCUUUCGGGGUGUAAACCGCUUUCGCCUGUGACGAGGCGUGAGUGACGGUAAUGAGUAAAGAAGCACCGGCUAACUACGUG
rnacentral:rRNA from 1 species